rnacentral:rRNA from 1 species
GUGAAGCGGCAAAAGCUCAAAUUUGAAAUCUGGUACCUUCGGUGCCCGAGUUGUAAUUUGGAGAGGGCAACUUUGGGGCCGUUCCUUGUCUAUGUUCCUUGGAACAGGACGUCAUAGAGGGUGAGAAUCCCGUGUGGCGAGGAGUGCGGUUCUUUGUAAAGUGCCUUCGAAGAGUCGAGUUGUUUGGGAAUGCAGCUCUAAGUGGGUGGUAAAUUCCAUCUAAAGCUAAAUAUUGGCGAGAGACCGAUAGCGAACAAGUACAGUGAUGGAAAGAUGAAAAGAACUUUGAAAAGAGAGUGAAAAAGUACGUGAAAUUGUUGAAAGGGAAGGGCAUUUGAUCAGACAUGGUGUUUUGUGCCCUCUGCUCCUUGUGGGUAGGGGAAUCUCGCAUUUCACUGGGCCAGCAUCAGUUUUGGUGGCAGGAUAAAUCCAUAGGAAUGUAGCUUGCCUCGGUAAGUAUUAUAGCCUGUGGGAAUACUGCCAGCUGGGACUGAGGACUGCGACGUAAGUCAAGGAUGCUGGCAUAAUGGUUAU